AUUUUUUCGUUUCAAUUAUGGACAUUUAAAGAAAUAUUUGAAUUUUAUACAAAGAUAUACUUUUGCGGCCCCCCAGUAUGUUGAGAAUAUAAUGCAAACGUUAACGUUAUGUUUCCCGUAUUAACGUCUUAUGUUUAUGACGUUACUUUGUACCUUUGUAUGGGCGCCUUCGAUAUAGAUUUUGAGCAUAAAAGUAACACAACGCA
rnacentral:lncRNA from 1 species